CUACACAGUUCACAUACCGUCACACUAUGGGAUCCACCGAAAACAAUUAAUCCUCAUCCACAAUUUGUUAGAUGCAAAAAUCAUCUCUCCCAACACACUCACCAUGCACUUCUUAGUUCCUAUGUCAGUCUAGGGGAUGCAAAAAAUAUUUUAUAAAACUUGUUUAUUACUAGAGAAUUUGGGCUAUGUCUUUCUCUAUAACUAUGGUUAAUCAUAGAAACUCUUUUUUGGUAAAACACAAAUAAAUCAUAGAAACUCUUUUAGGGUAUUCUAUUGCUUUGAACAUAAAAAACAAAUUUAGCAUGGAAGCAUUUUAUUUUCUAGAAUGGAUUAGAGAACAGGUAGAGAGGUUGGUUAUAAGGAGAGAAGGUUGCAGAAGGUUGGUGGAAAGUGGAAACAAAAUAAAGUGAGAGUGGCAAAUUGGAAAAAAAGUUAGUCGCAUGGGUCAAUUUUAUUUGAGUUUGUUUUAUUUAGUUAGUACGGAGUAUUACUUAAGCGUGUUUUAGGAUUUCAAUCAAAUUAAUAGUCAAUUCGUGAUAUUCGGGAAUUCAUUUUUCGGGACAUAUAGCAAUGCUCUUA
rnacentral:lncRNA from 1 species